GCUAGAGGUCCUGGAUUCGAUUCCCGGCAGAGCCAAAAUAUUUACGCUUUUCUUCUCUCGGAAGGCAGCGGCAAUCCACCGAAGUAACUUUGCCAUGAACGUCUCUCUACCAAAAUUUGCCGUUCAGAAUCGGCGUUAAAUUAUAGGUCCCAUACACCUGUGUAUAUCAUCGUACGCACCACAGAGAGAAGUCUUUUUGAUUUUCACGCAGAAUAAGCGAGGAGUUUGUGACGAGACACCGUGUUUUGGAAGAAAGAAUAAAGUCGUUUUCAUAUUGAGAUAAUUAUUCGUUCACUGCCUCGACGGAGGUGCAUCCCGUGACGCCAUCACGAUAAUCGUCGUACCCCGAGGGUGUCCGAGAUCGUCUGUAGAGACUCGACCCAAUAUCGGAGCGUGGAGAACGAUUUGGAACUAUCGAAAGAAACUAUCCUUGGAAGCUCUCGUGCGCCCGGACAAGAACUCGACAUUGGUCCUUCGAGCCGGAUGCGUUCGGGAAGACGAUUUUGAGGAGUUUUGAGGGCCCUAGUAAUCGUAGACUCGUGAUUGAGCAACGAUUAUUUCAAGGCGUUUUUAGAAUGGUCUUGACAAGGUGACGCAGCAGUGUGGUUUAACAAGUAAACUAACGAGAGCGAGUAACGUAUAACAAAAUUAUCAGAUUAAUGCAGAUUCUCUCGAAUUAAUAUUUUUGCGGAUAAGCCUACGUAAGUAAAUUAUUUUUAACGAUCGCACUGUAUAAGCCGUUAUAGAAUUUAAACAUGGCAGAAGAACUUGUUGUGUUGAUUAGAAGACGGUCGAUAAUAAAAGAUCACACGUAUUUA